AACGAACGCUGGCGGCAUGCCUAACACAUGCAAGUCGAACGAGACCUUCGGGGCUAGUGGCGCAAGGGUGCGUAACGCGUGGGAACCUGCCCUUAGGUUCGGAAUAACUCCCCGAAGGGGGUGCUAAUACCGGAUAAUGUCUUCGGACCAAAGAUUUAUCGCUGUUGGCUGGGCCCGCGGCCUAGUAGCUUGUUGGUAGGGUAAAGGCCUACCCAGGCGGAGACGGGUAGCCGGUCUUAGCGGGAGAUCGGCCACAUUGGGACUGCGACACGGCCCAGACCCCGACUGGAGGGGGCGGUGGGGAAUAUUGCACAAUGGGCGGGAGCGUGAUCCAGCGACACCGCGUGGGGGAUAAUGGCCAUCGGGUUGUAGUCUCAUUGCGACUUGGCCGAAGCGUAAAUGACGGUACCUGGAUAAGAAGGCCCGGCUAACUACGUG
rnacentral:rRNA from 1 species